rnacentral:rRNA from 1 species
AACGCGAAGAACCUUACCUGGGCUUGAACCGCACAGGACCACCCCGAGAAAUCGGGGCUUCCCGCAAGGGACCUGUGUAGAGGUGCUGCAUGGCUGUCGUCAGCUCGUGCCGUGAGGUGUUGGGUUAAGUCCCGCAACGAGCGCAACCCUUACUCGUAGUUGCCACCCGCAAGGGGGAACUCUACGAGGACUGCUCCGGAUAACGGAGAGGAAGGUGGGGAUGAGGUCAAGUCAGCAUGGCCUUUAUGUCCAGGGCUACACACGUGUUACAAUGCGCGCCACAAAGCGUUGCAAACCCGCGAGGGGGAGCUAAUCGCAAAAAAGCGCGCUCAGUUCGGAUUGCAGUCUGCAACUCGACUGCAUGAAGCCGGAAUCGCUAGUAAUGGCGCAUCAGAACGGCGCCGUGAAUACGUUCCCGGGCCUUGUA